rnacentral:rRNA from 1 species
CCUACGGGGGGCUGCAGUAGGGAAUCUUUCACAAUGGGCGAAAGCCUGAUGGAGCAACGCCGCGUGCAGGAUGAAGGCCUUCGGGUUGUAAACUGCUUUUAUAAGCGAGAAAUAUGAUGGUAACUUAUGAAUAAGGAUCGGCUAACUACGUGCCAGCAGCCGCGGUCAUACGUAGGAUCCGAGCAUUAUCCGGAGUGACUGGGUGUAAAGAGUUGCGUAGGUGGCAUAAUAAGUAGCUAGUGAAAUCUGGUGGCUCAACCAUUCAGACUAUUAGCUAAACUGUUAAGCUCGAGACCGUUAGGGGUAACUGGAAUUUCUAGUGUAGGAGUGAAAUCCGUAGAUAUUAGAAGGAACACCAAUAGCGUAGGCAGGUUGCUGGGACGGGUCUGACACUAAGGCACGAAAGCGUAGGGAGCAAAUGGGAUUAGAUACCCCAGUAGUC